rnacentral:rRNA from 1 species
UACGUAGGGGGCAAGCGUUAUCCGGAUUUACUGGGUGUAAAGGGAGCGUAGGCGGCGACGCAAGUCAGAAGUGAAAGCCCGGGGCUCAACUCCGGGACUGCUUUUGAAACUGGCUGGCUUGAGUUGGGGAAAGGCAGGCGGAAUGCGCGGUGUAGCGGUGAAAUGCAUAGAUAUCACGCAGAACUCCGAUUGCGAAGGCAGCAUACCGGCGCCCAACUGACGCUGAGGCACGAAAGCGUGGGUAUCGAACAGG